CCGCGGGGCCGCGGCGCUGUGGGCGGUGCGGGGAUGCUCGGCGCGGAACGGAACGGCACGGUAUGAUGUGACAUCGUGAAAAAUUAUAUAGUAAUAGUGGUGAGUCAUAGACGCAGUCAUUUUGAUUUUAUGUGCCAUGGUGAAAUUGGGGUGUUUCAGGGCAAGAGAGUGCUCCUCUCCAUGGUCCUUCCUUCCCCUGUGGCCAGCAGAGCAGCGGGUGUUGGGUGCAUGUGCCAGAGCCUGUGCUGCCUGUGGGAUGGUGCUGCAGGGGCAGCUAUGAAGAAACAGUAGUUAUCAGCAAAUGGUGUGUCCUGGCUGGUGUGACUGUCACCAGCCCGGCUGUGAGAUGGCCAGAGUGUUCCUGAGGCGCUGUUAUCUCCUGUGGAGGCUGAGGGAAGUGAUAAGACUCAGAUGGUGCCAUUCAUGGUCCCUCAACAACCAGUGCAAGUGUGAGUCCCUUUGAAGUUUACUGGUGACCCUGCUGAGAUCAAUACCCUGGGCUGGCAAAGAGUGGGGAGAGAAUCAGGCAGAGACCCAGGAAAAAGGACUUUGAAAAUAAAAAGCUGUAUCUUUUCAGGCUCAGGGGAGAAAUGUUGCCUCCCAGCCCCAGGAGCCAGGUCCUGGGCUAGUCCCCAGAGAGCCAAACACACACAAGAAGGGCUGUGAUUGAAAUCCCUCUCCUUGUGUUUUGCUGCUGCUGUUUGAAAUCAACUCCGUUUGCUUUCAGAGGUGCUGUUUUGUGUUUCUGCGGUGACAUGUGAAUCCCAAUCUUGCUGGGAAGCAGCAAAACGGGCACCCCAGGACCUGGUCUGAUGUGCCCUGAGGCCUCCCCCAUCACUGGCAGGACAGACUGGGUGCUGGCUCAGCCUGCCCCCCCUCAGAUGGGCCUGUGAGCUGCCAAGGGGGAUGUGGAUCUGUGCAAACUGUCAGGCUGAGCCCUGCCCUGGCACUGGAUGGCCCCACAUUUGCCCCUUCUCUUCCUGUGACGGGGACAAGGACCUUGCCAGCUGCCCGACAGGAAUCAGUGCUGGAGCCCCCAGACGAUGAGGAGGGUCAAAGGUAGAACAAGCUUCCCUCAGCAAUCCGGAUAUUAACAGGGUUGCAACACCAGUUAGAAGAAUUUGAAGGGUCAAAUUCCACCAGAGUGUAACAUCGUUGAACUCGGCUGUUUUAGACCUCCAGUGAAUCUGGAGCAGCGUUUUGGAAGGGUGACACCUUAACACAGACCUGUUUAAAGGAGUUAAUGUGUGACUGGCCCCAAACCAGCUGGAGCAGGCAGAUGGCUUGCCCUGCUGGAGCUGGUUUUGGCAGCUGGGACCCUGUGCAGUUCUCAGCGAUGCUGAUGUGAAUCCAGAAGAAAGCAGCUGAGAGCAGAAGGAUUGCAGUUGGCUUGCAUCAUCUGCAGAGCAGGAUUAGCCCUUUUUUUAUUGCAGAUUCCCAGAAGAUGGCUACCCUGGGCUUUCUCUGGAUAUGUAUGUCCAUAUUCUGAAAUGCAGCCAACAUCCUGCUACUAAAAUAAACCUCACAAAUGCGCCAUGUCUGGAACUGUCGCGAUUAAGAGCUACAAAAUAAGAAAACAGUCAGGACACAAUGGAUUUAUGU